rnacentral:rRNA from 1 species
GACGAACGCUGGCGGCGUGCUUAACACAUGCAAGUCGAACGGAAAGGCCCUGCUUUUGUGGGGUGCUCGAGUGGCGAACGGGUGAGCAACACGUGAGUAACCUGCCCUUGACUUUGGGAUAACUUCAGGAAACUGGGGCUAAUACCGGAUAGGAGCUCCUGCUGCAUGGUGGGGGUUGGAAAGUUUCGGCGGUUGGGGAUGGACUCGCGGCUUAUCAGCUUGUUGGUGGGGUAGUGGCUUACCAAGGCUUUGACGGGUAGCCGGCCUGAGUGGGUGACCGGCCACAUUGGGACUGAGAUACGGCCCAGACUCCUACGGGAGGCAGCAGUGGGGAAUAUUGCACAAUGGGCGGAAGCCUGAUGCAGCAACGCCGCGUGCGGGAUGACGGCCUUCGGGUUGUAAACCGCUUUCGCCUGUGACGAAGCGUGAGUGACGGUAAUGGGUAAAGAAGCACCGGCUAACUACGUG